rnacentral:pre_miRNA from 1 species
AAUAAAUGCAGUUUUGCACUAUUCACGUACCGUUCGUCCUAUUUAAAAUUUUUUUCUAUGAUUAGUAUUUUUAUUGCUAUUAGAUGAUAAAAUAUGAAUAGUACUUUAUGUGUGACUAAAUAUUUUCAAUUUUUUCACAAAAAUUUCAAAUAAGACGAACGGUCAAACGUUGGGCACGAAUAUCCACGGCUGCACUUAUU